UGCGUAGGCGGUCCCGCAAGUCCGUUGUGAAAGCCCCGGGCUUAACCUGGGAAUGGCAGUGGAAACUAGGGGACUUGAAUCUGGCAGAGGGGGUGGAAUGCCACGUGUAGCAGUGAAAUGCGUAGAGAUGCGGCGGAACACCGAUGGCGAAGGCAGCCCCCUGGGCUGAGAUUGACGCUCAGGCACGAAAGCGUGGGGAGCAAACAGGAUUAGAUACCCUGGUAGUCCACGCCCUAAACGAUGAUCACUAGGUGUUGGGGAAGCGAUUUCUCAGUACCGCAGCUAACGCGUGAAGUGAUCCGCCUGGGGAGUACGGUCGCGAGAUUAAA
rnacentral:rRNA from 1 species